rnacentral:lncRNA from 1 species
AAGGGAGGAAUCUAUUCCAACACCAACACCACUUCCUCCUUAUAUCCUAACCUUAACAACAACACUCUUGGAGGCUUCAACAAGGGAAUCUAUUCCAACACCACAUCCUCACCCUAUCUUAACCUUAACAACAACAACAACAACCACCUCAACAACAACCUUAACAGCAAUAAUCUCAAGGGCUACAAGACAUUUUUUAAGGGUGAAGAUCAGUUUCACACACCCAAAAGUGCCAAGAAAAACAGCAGCAACAACAACAAC